rnacentral:rRNA from 1 species
GAUGAACGCUGGCGGCGUGCCUAAUACAUGCAAGUCGAGCGAACAGACGAGGAGCUUGCUCCUCUGACGUUAGCGGCGGACGGGUGAGUAACACGUGGAUAACCUACCUAUAAGACUGGGAUAACUUCGGGAAACCGGAGCUAAUACCGGAUAAUAUAUUGAACCGCAUGGUUCAAUAGUGAAAGACGGUUUUGCUGUCACUUAUAGAUGGAUCCGCGCCGCAUUAGCUAGUUGGUAAGGUAACGGCUUACCAAGGCAACGAUGCGUAGCCGACCUGAGAGGGUGAUCGGCCACACUGGAACUGAGACACGGUCCAGACUCCUACGGGAGGCAGCAGUAGGGAAUCUUCCGCAAUGGGCGAAAGCCUGACGGAGCAACGCCGCGGGAGUGAUGAAGGUCUUCGGAUCGUAAAACUCUGUUAUUAGGGAAGAACAAAUGUGUAAGUAACUAUGCACGUCUGGACGGUACCUAAUCAGAAAGCCACGGCUAACUACGU